UGACUUUUGCCCAAUUGCUUAAGCAAGCUAAAGGGAUCUUCUGUACUUUGAACCAUCCCACUCAGUUUUGCUUUCCUUACCAAAAGGCUGAGCUGACAAAGUUGGGUCUCUGACACUAAGAAACCAGCUGUGAAGGCUGCCCACUUGCCCAUCAGUACGGAACUGUGCAGGAAUGUGAGCGGAUGCAACUGAAGAGGCCUACCCUUCGCCCUUGGUAUUUCUCAGUAACUUUUCUGAGUUUGAAUACAAGAGGGAACUUCUAUUUUUUUGUAAUGACGCAUUCCCCAGGCCCUGGCUCACGUUGCCCAGGUGAGAGGAGCACUGUACCCAGUCUCUGCCGGGCACAGCAAGACGUCCAUCCGCGGGAGCAACACAAAGCCUUAACCCAGCAGGCCCUCCCAGCACGCCAGCAUCAGGCAGCGCACAUUCACGUAAGCACCGCCACCAGCUGAGCUCAAACCGCCAGACACUGGGGUACGGGGCAUCGGCUGAGAAGCAGAUUCGUGUUUUAGAAAAACGGAGUUGCUAUCCUUCCUUUCUGCUUUCCUCCACCAUCUGCUGUGUUGAAGCAAGGUGUUCCUGUAAACAGCGGGGAAACACGGCCAUGGGCAGUCUGGGAAUCCGUUCAAAACCAUGGACAAAUGACAGCCACAGGUCAAAGCAAAGGUCCAUCUGCCCAAGAACAUCCUGCUCUGAUGGCAGGCAAACUUCACAGAAGAAGUGAAGAAGAGGACAAGAUUGGAAGUCCUCCAGGACAUUUCUCUAGCCGGCAGCUGGUGCAAACACAGAUUUUUCUGAGAGAGAGUCCCUUUCACUUAGGCUGAACCUACACCUCGCUGGUCUCACCUGUGCAUCCUGUUUGUGGACUUCAGGGGACGCAGCAAGCAGCCCAUUCACCACUCCCUUUGCCACCCACUGCCUCACACGUCCUAGCUCAUCCCUCAAGAUUUUCUUCUGUGAUAGGCUUUCCCCAUUUUCCUGAUUCCUCAGAGCCCGUUCAUACAGCUGGGAACUGCAAAACUACAGCGCCUGAGCUCUUUUUAGAGGCCAGGGACAAACAUGGCUCUCUGGCAGCAGGAGUGAAGGGAUCAUAUGGCUUGUCCCAAGCUACAUUUCAUUAUAGCUUGGGAUCCAAACAGACAUUUGUCAUUGGCUUUGCUUUUGCCACUCCCUCAUCACAGCCUGUCCAGAGCUGUCUGGUGGCAGAGCAGGACGCUUCUGGUUUUAGCCAAGGUUUUGGAGAAAAGCCAGGAUCAAACCACUGAAACUUGUGCUGAUCUGUAUAAGUGUAUCUAGAUAGUCUCAGAAAACUUUUGAGUGUAAAAAUAUAAUAAAUUCAUCCCUCCUAAAAUCACUGGAACAGACUUUAAUUCCUGAGAAUGUCCUGACCUGUCUUAAAGGCGCUCAUUUCCGUAACCCAGCACCUGCUCUGGGAUCAGGCCGUGUGCCCUCACUUCCUCCUCGGGCACCUGCCUAAUCUGCCAGAGAUGGAUUACCAUGAUACUUACUCCUACAGAGAGAGGAAUAUCCAUUAAAUGGGUUUAAAACAGUGUCCUUAUUUACACCAAAAAAGAGUUACCUACUGAAGACCAAAUUAAAAAAAGAAAAAACUAAAGCUCAGCACCACAUGUGCCUUCUAAAUUUUCAACAUUUAAACUAUUGUUGGGUUUUUGUUUUGGCCAUUUCUCUUUUGUGGUAAAGCAGUUUCCCAGCACAUAAUCUCAUUUGGCCAAGCUUUCCAGAGCACUCUAGGAAAAUGAGUCCCUUCUCAUUUGGGGCAACUGCAAACCAAACUCUCCACUGCAGGGAAAUUACACCAUUUCUGAGUAAGUGCUUAUUUAGUAGACACAGCAAGCAGCAAAUAGAAGGAAGGAGUUCCCUGACACACUUGUCUCUGAGUUCUGAAACUACUUUCAGCUUCAAGCUUUCAGUUGCUCUUAGGAGAGAAACCUUGAGGUUUUCUGAAUAAUGAGAAAUUAUGGGGCAAAUUUUGCACUGAAUGGUUUGGCUGAUGACCUGAAUAUGAAGUAAGGGAGAGCUCAGGUUUGGGACAUAGAUUUGUGUCCAUCUCUCAACUGGAAAUCUAUUCCCUGGCAAUGAGAUUUGUGAUUUCCACCCUGAAGGAACACACUGUCAGCACCCAGCAGUUGCAGGAAAGGGCAUCAAUAUCCUGUCUUCAAGGAUGCACAAGGCAGAAGAAAGAGACAGGACAGUGGUUACUGCCUCAAAGCCUGUAAUUCCCCACCUUUGCAUACUGCAGUGCUCCGGCAUGGAUUAAUAAAAUACCUAUUAUCUGAUUUGAGAGCUCCAGUUCAACAGUAGACUUUGAAAACAACCUUGUUACGUGUAAGCCAGCCUCUUAGCUCUCCUAGUAACAGCAUGGUUGCAGAACACACUCUUUAGGUAAGGAAUUGAUUAGAUUACCCCAUAUCCUUAAUAUUUAUUUUUUCCCUGAAAUGAGAGUUUGUGACUACAAAAACCUCCCACAGAUCUCUCACUUCCCUUCAGUUCUGCAUUUGGCCAUUAGAAGUGAUUCCAUACAUGAAGGACACAUUUAACAUCUUAGAUCUAAUAUUCUGACCCUACACAGGCGUUUCUCAUCUGCAGCAAACCUCACGCUGGGCCAUGGGCUAAGGCAGCUGUUGCUGCUCUAUUAACUAACUAUUAGGCAUCUGCAUUCCAGCCAGUUACAACAAUGCGGUAUUUUGAGCAGUACAAUAGCCCAGAAGAGUUACUUGGAAAACACAGGUGCACAGUUAGAACGUGAUCUAUUUAAGAAUGCAAAUAUAGGAACACUGACAAACUGAAAACAAAAGCCUCAGUGACUGAAUUGAACAAGAGCUGCACACAGUGAGCUUCUCUUGCAGCUUUUACACCAUACUGCUUAAGUGCUAUAAACAUGUAAACACAUCACUUGGUGCAAAGAAAGAGGCUGACUACACAGCCACAAGCUAACUGGACCCAGUCACUUCUCUCCCCACUGGAAAGGAAAAUCUGCAGCUCUAAUGCAAGUGACCAAAUACACACAUAAAAGCCUCCAGGGUGCUGCCAUCAUUCCCUUCCUCAACACAAGACCUUCCUGUCUCUGAGUGUGACAUGGGAACGUAAUCCCACUGUGGCCUCUGGAAACCUGCAGUUCCUGGUGGGACUCACACAGGCUCCUGCACAUCCGCACCAUGGAAGGUCUGACCUAGCAGGGGAUGGUGGCUGGGAGGAAAGCAGCUACCAAAUGAGUUCCAGAUACUUAACAGACCACUGAAACUGUGUCAGCCCAGCCAGACACUGAGGAGUGAGCUGUGAUGGGCAAGCUGCUGGUGUGAGCAGCUUAAAUCUCAUCCAGAGGCACUGAGAAGACAUGGCUUAUUGCCCCACUCAUGGACUACACAUCACCUUGCAGAAUGAUACAGAAUACAGAAAUCCCAGCUACAAGAGUACAUCAUUAAUCCCAAGAAACACAACUUGCUGAGUUCAGCGCAGCAUCCCCUUUGCUUAGGACAAAAGUAAUUCAUUGUGGUUUUGCUGAACAUUAUGAUUAAAAUACAGUUUUGUUUUAAAUCCUAAAAGUAUUUCUACACUAGAGUUGACAAUCAAUGUAAGUCAAUAAUUACAUAGCUGAACACACAGAAGAAUUAAAAACAAAAACGAAAAAACCCACCCAUCCUUUUGUC